CGAGCCUCUGGAGAGACUCAUAAGAGCACCGAAGGAGCAAGGUUUAAUUUAAAGUUAAACUGAAACUCUCAGGUAAAAGGACAGGGGAUUA
rnacentral:ncRNA from 1 species